rnacentral:rRNA from 1 species
UACGUAGGGCGCAAGCGUUGUCCGGAAUUAUUGGGCGUAAAGAGCUCGUAGGCGGUUUGUCGCGUCUGCUGUGAAAACCUGAGGCUCAACCUCGGGCUUGCAGUGGGUACGGGCAGACUAGAGUGCGGUAGGGGUGACUGGAAUUCCUGGUGUAGCGGUGGAAUGCGCAGAUAUCAGGAGGAACACCGAUGGCGAAGGCAGGUCACUGGGCCGCAACUGACGCUGAGGCGCGAAAGCGUGGGGAGCGAACAGG